UCUGAUUGGCUGUUGAGCUGAAAGUCUGAUAAAAACAAACAUCUUAUCCAGAAAGCCUUAAAUUAUUUCAGGAUCAGUUGUAAAUUUUAGGGAGGAAUGAUAAAUCCUCACCAACAUCGGUAUCGACCGAUAUUAGUCAUUAUUUAACAUAUCGAUAUCUGUCCGAUAAAUAAAAUUGGGCCAAUAAUAACAGCCCAUAUUUAUUUAUCCUGUUGCCUCCCCCAAAGGUGGUGAAAUAUAUAUAAUAAUGGUAAAUAUUGGUAAUCAGCAAGAUUAAUAUCGGCCCAAAUUUUCAUAUCAGUGCAUCCCUAAGAAAUUUUAGUAUCAUUUAAAAUGUGAAAACAGCCUCAGUUAUUGCAGUUAGACACAUAUUUUGAAGCUCAGUUUGUUUAAGAAAAAUCCUAGACUGUUUUUAGUUUGUAGCUUUCUGAUUGGCUGAUCAGUUCGCCUUGGCGUCUCCUCUCCAGGAAGUGCAUCUUUCCCCUCAUACAGGAAGCCUAAAGCUACAUCCUUGGUGCAGAAAGCAGCACAAUCACAGGUCCUUCCUGCAGCAAGUCUUCACAUCCCUGCUGAAUGUCGCAGCACUCCGGUUUAUUCCCACACUUGAUUCUGAUUUGUCCCACUCAUCAGGAAAACAGGCGUCCGUUUGUUCCAGCCGGACGCCGAUCUCCCACCAUCAUUCCAGCUGCAGGAUGAUCCGAACGCCAGCUGCUCUCCCUGGAAGCGAGAGUAGCUGCAAGGCAUGCUGGGUAAUUCCUUCACAGAUUCGCUCCUCAAGCAGAGAGGAUCCAGCACGAACGCAGGCGGGAGAAAAAGGCUUCACUGAGAUAAACACGAAGGAAUCCACUCAGCUCCAGAUGUGACAGAUAAAACUUCUGCCAAAGCAGAAAACCUGCUGGACGCAGGUUUUCUGCGUCCAGCAGAAAACCUGUUUCAUCAGAACGGAAAGAAACGUCUGAGCGUCAAAAACAAGAGUCUGUUCAACUUUAAUCACUUUAAAAGUUUCAAUCUCUGCAGGAUUUAAAGGCAGACAUCUUCAAAAGAGUAAACCCUAAACCGCCUUUUGUAACGACUUUCAACGUAAAUGCACCGCCAAACACAAACAGGAAGCACUUCCAUAUAUGGAUGAUGACAAAGCAUCUGGAAAUGUUUGACGGUUAUCAGAAAAUAUUUGCUUUUGACUGCAAAAUGACUUUUUUAUGGGAAUGAGUGGAAAAGAUGGAAUGACAAUUGGAUGACCAGAGGAAGUAGACGACGGGUUUGUCCUCCCAGCUUUGAGUUUACGAUCGUACCAGAAACGUGAAUAAAAAGGUUCCGACCAGAGCGUUUAUACGUAAUAAAAUAAAAGUCAUUAACUGC